GUGAACGCUGGCGGUAGGCCUAACCCCUGCCAGUCGCACGGCAGCACAGUAAGAGCUUGCUCUUACGGGUGGCGAGUGGCGGACGGGUGAGGAAUACAUCGGAAUCUACUUUUUCGUGGGGGAUAACGUAGGGAAACUUACGCUAAUACCGCAUACGACCUACGGGUGAAAGCAGGGGAUCUUCGGACCUUGCGCGAUUGAAUGAGCCGAUGUCGGAUUAGCUAGUUGGCGGGGUAAAGGCCCACCAAGGCGACGAUCCGUAGCUGGUCUGAGAGGAUGAUCAGCCACACUGGAACUGAGACACGGUCCAGACUCCUACGGGAGGCAGCAGUGGGGAAUAUUGGACAAUGGGCGCAAGCCUGAUCCAGCCAUACCGCGUGGGUGAAGAAGGCCUUCGGGUUGUAAAGCCCUUUUGUUGGGAAAGAAAAGCAGCAGGCUAAUACCCCGCUGUUCUGACGGUACCCAAAGAAUAAGCACCGGCUAACUUCGUG
rnacentral:rRNA from 1 species